AGCAGCCGCGGUAAUUCCAGCUCCAAUAGCGUAUAUUAAAGUUGUUGCAGUUAAAAAGCUCGUAGUUGAAUUUCGGGAUUGACGUGAUGGUCAUGCCUUAAGGGGUAUGAACUGUUACAGUUGAUUUCUCACCUUCUGGAGAAACUUGAUGUCCUUUAUUGGGUGUCUUGCGGAUCCAGGACCUUUACCUUGAAAAAAUUAGAGUGUUUAAAGCAGGCAUUUUUGCUCGAAUACAUUAGCAUGGAAUAAUAGAAUAGGACGGCAUGGUUCUAUUUUGUUGGUUUCUAGGAUCACCGUAAUGAUUAAUAGGGAUAGUUGGGGGCAUUAGUAUUCAAUUGUCAGAGGUGAAAUUCUUGGAUUUAUUGAAGACUAACUACUGCGAAAGCAUUUGCCAAGGAUGUUUUCAUUAAUCAAGAACGGAAGUUAGGGGAUCGAAGACGAUCAGAUACCGUCGUAGUCUUAACCAUAAACUAUGCCGACUAGGAAUCAGGCGAUGUUAAUUUUUAAUGUACUCGUUUGG
rnacentral:rRNA from 1 species